rnacentral:tRNA from 1 species
GGGGAUGUAGCUCAGUGGUAGUAGAGUACUUACCUAGCAGGCAUGAGUUCCUGAGUUCAAUCCUCAGUACCACUC